GAUGAAGAACGCAGCGAAAUGCGAUAAGUAGUGUGAAUUGCAGAAUUCAGUGAAUCAUCGAAUCUUUGAACGCACAUUGCGCCCCUUGGUAUUCCAUGGGGCAUGCCUGUUCGAGCGUCAUUUGUACCUUCAAGCUUUGCUUGGUGUUGGGUGUUUGUCUCGCCUUUGCGUGUAGACUCGCCUUAAAAUAAUUGGCAGCCGGCGUAUUGAUUUCGGAGCGCAGUACAUCUCGCGCUUUGCACUCAUAACGACAGCGUCCAAAAGUACAUUUUACACUCUUGACCUCGGAUCAGGUAGGGAUACCCGCUGAACUUAAGCAUAUCAAUAAGCGGAGA
rnacentral:misc_RNA from 1 species